GACGAACGCUGGCGGCGUGCCUAAUACAUGCAAGUCGAACGCAGUGGGGACGGGUGAGUAACAAGUGGGUAACCUCCCAUCAGAGGAGAUAACACUUGGAAACAGGUGCUAAACCGAUACUGAUGGAUGGCACCGCGGUGCAUUAGCUAGGUGGUGAGGUAACGGCUCACCAAGUCCACGAUGCAUAGCCCGCCUGAGAGGGUGUUCGGCCACACGGGGACUGAGACACGGCCAAGACUCCUACGCGAUGCAGCAGGAGGGAAUCUCCGGCAAUGGACGCAAGUCUGACCGAGCAAGGCCGCGUGAGUUAAGAAGGUUUUCGGAGUGUAAAACUCUGUUAUUAGAGAAGCGGUAUAUAACCAGAAAGCCACGGCUAACUACGUGCCAGCCGCCGCGGUAAUAC
rnacentral:rRNA from 1 species